UCCAGCAGCCUGCGGAUCCGGCACCGGGCUAUCCCAGGUUGGUAGUUCCACUCAUUCCUUGCACAAAUUCUCCCUCCUCACCUCAGCUCACCAUCUCCUCGUUUCGUUCCCUUUUCUACAGCAUGGCACGGAUGGGACAGCGACGGCAGCAGGAGGGCGCGGGCCAUGUCCUGCUCGAGGAGGCGGAUAUUAGGGGCGCGCCCAGCCGGCAGC
rnacentral:lncRNA from 1 species